ACUAACCCUAAACCUAAUGAAGUGUCGGCCGCCCCCUCCACUCCUCCAGCCGCCAUCGCCAAUUGCUCAGGCUCCUCCAACCGGUCUCAGCCUAUUCUCCGUCCAUGAUGCUACGUUCUAGCCAUACCGCCGUUGUGCCCUGUUGUCGGCGACGACGAGAACCACCAGCGAAGCUGUGAGUGCCCGAGGCCACAUCUCCGUCAUUCUCCUUCUUCUUCUCUUUCUGUCGCUGUUCACAACCGCACCCGGCUGUCACCGGUGUCGUUCUGAUCGUUGUCGCCGGCUGUAGGCGCAAGGUUGGGUGUCGUUCACUGCCACCGUCUCUUUUUCUCCUUCCCUUUGUUCUGUUAAUGUGUUGCUUCAAGUCGCCAGUGAGGCCGUGAACCGCAAGGAUCGACCGCCGGCUGUCGCUGCCGCCACCAUCUUGCGCGGCUGCUUCCUACCGCCGGGACCAUCGCAUGCCACCAUGAAGAGGGAAUUGUGUUCGACUUUUCGCUACCAGUUCGGGAAUCUGUCAGCCAGUAGCUGGGGUCGAGUCUGCGGGACUUCAGCAGUGUGGGAUUGUGUCUACGGGACUUCAGCAGUGUGAGGUACUUCGUGUUUAAAGGAAAGGAGUCGGCUUGAUCGCAGCACAUCACACUAUGGUUUUCCGCACACGAGAUCUUUGGGAUUAGACUCUGAUAUUGUUUUAUGAUAAUUUGUUUUUAUUAUUUCUACUUGGGUUUUGACAUGACAUGAUAUUAUGGAUGUUUUCUUAUACUGUUGAUUUUAUAAUAAGGUAUUUAAAUAUGAAA